AAAACAAUUAGCUGUUAUCCCCUAAGUAACUUGAUUUAUUAAUCUAUAUUUAGGAUCAAGUUAAUUUUUUAAAUUAAUAUUUUAACUUUUAAAUUAAUGAAGUUAAAAAAUUCAUUAACCGCCCCAGUUAAAUUUUCUUCAUCCUAUAUAGGAUGAAGAAAAUAAAGUUUUAAGGGGUCUUCUCGUCCUGCUAAAAAUUUCUUCUUUUUCAAAGAAAAAUUAAUUUCAAUUUCACAAAUUGAGACAAUAUUAAGUUCAUUAACCCUAUCAUUCCAUUUUACAAUUAAUAAACUAAUUAUUAUGUACCUUUGCAA
rnacentral:rRNA from 1 species